CCUACGGGUGGCAGCAGUCGAGAAUCAUUCACAAUGGGGGAAACCCUGAUGGUGCGACGCCGCGUGGGGGAAUGAAGGUCUUCGGAUUGUAAACCCCUGUCAUGUGGGAGCAAAUUAAAAAGAUAGUACCACAAGAGGAAGUGACGGCCAACUCUGUGCCAGCUGCCGCGGUAAUACCGAGGGCUGCAGGGGUGUUCGGAAUCACUGGGGGUAAAGGGUGCGGAGGUUGUUUCGUAAGGCGUGUGGUAAAGGGGCGGGGUCAACCCGCGGACGGCACAUGAUACUGCGAGACUAGAGUAGGGGAGAGGGAAGCGGAAUGCGCGGUGUAGCAGUGAAAUGCGUAGAUAUCGAGAAGAACACUCGUUGCGAAGGCAGGUUCCUGGACAUUAACUGACGCUGAGGCACGAAGGCCAGGGGAGCGAAAGGGAUUAGAUACCCGUGUAGUC
rnacentral:rRNA from 1 species